rnacentral:rRNA from 1 species
UACGUAGGGACCAAGCGUUGUUCGGAUUUACUGGGCGUAAAGGGCGCGUAGGCGGCGUGGUAAGUCACUUGUGAAAUCUCUGAGCUUAACUCAGAACGGCCAAGUGAUACUGCUGUGCUAGAGUGCAGAAGGGGCAAUCGGAAUUCUUGGUGUAGCGGUGAAAUGCGUAGAUAUCAGGAGGAACACCGGUGGCGAAGGCGGGUCUCUGGGCCUUACCUGACGCUGAGGAGCGAAAGCGUGGGGAGCGAACAGG